rnacentral:lncRNA from 1 species
UACCAGCUUUUCUGGUCCUAGCGCAGGUGAAUCUGUUUCUAAGCAGAUAGAACUCAGAGGCAGCUGUUUCACAAGCUUCUGCUUCUUAGAGAAAAGAGAGAGAACAUUUAAAACAGGAAGAAGUGGAAGCGCAUUAACUUACACGUGGACGAGUCUUGUCCUGCGGGACAUGAACAUCCAUCUUUAUCACCAGAGCUCACUGGACAGCUACCACGCCCUCACCAGUCCACUUCUGAUGGCCACAUGACCAUUUCAAAGUAGGCAUACUGCCUAAAAUUUCAAAGAUGAUCCAAAGCUUUCAGGGAAACAAACACAAUCUAGUAAAUGCGAGAAAUGCCCUACGAGAAAUCAACUAAAAGGACAAACAGCUGCUCACAGAGAGGUUUAAAACUCUUUGGCUGGACUUCACUCUAUAUUCUGCACCUACUCUAUAUUCUGCACCUAUUCUGGUUUUGAAAAAUGAUACAGAUGUGUCUCACAGAAUUGAAAGCACCAUUGAUUGUGAUCUGUAUCCUCAUCUCAUAGAGUAUGAAAAAUGAGUGUCAUGAGAAUGACCAGAUACGGGACGUUAGCAGAGGUUGUCUUUGAAAGACUUUGAACUGUAAUUCCUAUACUGUGACAGUUAGGCUAAGGGGACAACUGCCUAACAUGUGUGAGGCUUUACACCUGGUCCUACAAUGCAUAAGCAUGUGUGUGAAUACACAUAUGCACAUACAUAACCUUUACACCUCCACCCGACUCCAUCACUCCAUUCCCUCACCAGUCAGUCUUCCAUCCCUCCAAUCACUAGCGCACACUAACCAACUUUCCGUCUCCAAUGCUUGUCUUGUCUGCACAUUUCAUUUACACAGAAUCUUACAACAUGUGAUCGUUUGUGUCUGGCUGCUUUCUCCUAAUAUGUUUUCAAGGUUCAGUGACAUUCUGACAUGGUUUAAGUAGCGUGUUCCUCUUUAUGGCGGACCAAUACUCCACUGUAUGAGUAUGUCAUAUUUAGUUUAUCUGACAUCCGUCAGUAGACCCACGACUAGCUUGUCUCUGCUGUGUGACAAUCACACACAAUGCCCCUGAGCAUCCAUGUUUGAGUUUGUGAAUAUAUUUUUUUCCCUUGGGUGUAUGUUAUUAGGGUGAAGUUAGUGGGCAGCAGACUCAGUCGUGUGGAACAGUGUCGCUCUGCAAUCCUGAGGGAAUGACUGAGCUUCUUUUCAACUUGUCUUGUCUGCUGUUUUCUUCAGAGAAGCACCUGCUUCCCAGAGACAGACAAAAUCAUUUGUAGGCUUUGCAGCCAGGCUUCUGUUUUUAUCACUGACCUGUGUCUGCACUUACAUAUACUAUACUGUGCUCUGUGUGUGCACACACACCUUAAACUGUGCUGUGUGUGUGCACUUACACAUCCUACACUGUGCUCUGUGUGUGCACUUACACAUCCUACACUGUGCUCUGUGUGUGCACUUACACAUCCUACACUGUGCUCUGUGUGCACACACAUCCUACACAGUGCUCUGUGUGUGCACUUACACAUCCUACACUGUGCUGUGUCAGUACUUACACAUCCUACACUGUGCUCUGUGUGUGCACUUACACAUCCUACACUGUGCUCUGUGUGCACUUACACAUCCUACACUGUGCUCUGUGUGUGCACUUACACGUCCUACACUGUGCUCUGUGUGCACUUACACAUCCUACACUGUGCUCUGUGUGUGCACACACAUCCUACACUGUGCUCUGUGUCAGCACUUACACAUCCUACACUGUGCUGUGUCAGCACUUACACAUCCUACACUGUGUUCUGUGUGUGCACUGACACAUCCUACACUGUGCUGUGUGUGUGCACUUACACAUCCUACACUGUGCUCUCUGUGUGUGCACUUACACAUCCUACACUGUGCUCUGUGUGUACACUUACACAUCCUACACUGUGCUCUGUGUGUGCACUUACACAUCCUACACUGUGCUCUGUGUGCACACACAUCCUACACAGUGCUCUGUGUGUGCACUUACACAUCCUACACUGUGCUGUGUCAGUACUUACACAUCCUACACUGUGCUCUGUGUGUGCACUUACACAUCCUACACUGUGCUCUGUGUGCACUUACACAUCCUACACUGUGCUCUGUGUGUGCACACACAUCCUACACUGUGCUCUGUGUGUACACUUACACAUCCUAUACUGUGCUGUGUCAGCACUUACACAUCCUACACUGUGUUCUGUGUGUGCACUGACACAUCCUACACUGUGCUGUGUGUGUGCACUUACACAUCCUACACUGUGCUCUCUGUGUGUGCACUUACACAUCCUACAUUGUGCUCUGUGUGUACACUUACACAUCCUACACUGUGCUCUGUGUCAGCACUUACACAUCCUACACUGUGCUGUGUCAGUACUUACACAUCCUACACUGUGCUCUGUGUGUGCACUUACACAUCCUACACUGUGCUCUGUGUCAGCACUUACACAUCCUACACUGUGCUCGGUGUGUGCACUUACACAUCCUACACUGUGCUCUGUGUGCACACACAUCCUACACUGUGCUCUGUGUGCACACACAUCCUACACUGUGCUCUGUGUCAGCACUUACACAUCCUACACUGUGCUCGGUGUGUGCACUUACACAUCCUACACUGUGCUCUGUGUGCACACACAUCCUACACUGUGCUCUGUGUGCACACACAUCCUACACUGUGCUCUGUGUCAGCACUUACACAUCCUACACUGUGCUCUGUGUGUGCACUUACACAUUCUACACUGUGCUCUGUGUCAGCACUUACACAUCCUACACUGUGCUCUGUGUGUGCACUUACACAUCCUACACUGUGCUCUGUGUGCACACACAUCCUACACUAUGCUGUGUGUGUGCACUUACACAUCCUACACUGUGCUCUGUGUGCACGCUUACACAUCCUACACUGUGCUCUUUGUCAGCACUUACACAUCCUACACUGUGCUCUGUGUGCACACACAUCCUACACUGUGCUGUGUGUGUGCACUUACACAUCCUACACUGUGCUCUGUGUGCACGCUUACACAUCCUACACUGUGCUCCUUGUCAGCACUUACACAUCCUAUACUGUGCUUGUGUGUGCACUUACACAUCCUACACUGUGCUAUAACUCUACGAGCCACUUCGCCCAGUAAAAGAGUAGUACUGUCCACUGUGCCACCUCUCCAGUCUGCCGCAGGUCCCUUUUAAGCUUUUUAAAUGUUUGAGUGGAGACAAGUUUAACUUUUGAAACGUAACUAGAAUAGCAUCACAAGUUUGUCACACAGCAUAUGUUAUUUGCACCAUACAGAGUGUCUGGUAAGUUUUAAUCGAAGACUUUACCUGUCCACUUCGUACGAUGGAUGGGGGAAUGGAGAAGUAGUAACCGGCCCUGGCGCCUUCCAUGGCUACCGAUGGCCGACCGUCAAAUGCAUGCAGCAGAACCUGUUUUGCACCUCUCAAAUCAAACACAAAUCACAGUUCCAUUUUGUCUCCUAACAAAGAGCUUCCCAUUAGUCUAAUUAAACAGAAAUCUGAAUUAUAAGCAAAUAUUUAUGAUGAUGCCAAGAUCAUAUUCCAUUGCUUCUAAAGUUUCAAUAAACAGUUAAUGUUCAGCCAGGAGAAAAAUAAGUUUUUUAAUCUUCAGAAUAAAAUAGUUGAAUAACGCCAGGCGUGGUGGCACACGCCUUUAAUCCCAGCACUUGGGAGGCAGAGGCAGGCGGAUUUCUGAGUUCGAGGCCAGCCUGGUCUACAGAGCGAGUUCCAGGACAGCCAGGGCUACACAGAGAAACUCUGUCUCAAACAAACAAACAAACAAACAAGUAGUUGAAUAACAUUGAAAUGCAGUUUUUAAAGCAAUCAUCUAAACUAUCUCUACCACUAGGUCUUUUUCAUGUCUGUCAGCUGUCAAAGUACCAUUCCUAAGAAUGGUAAGAAAAGGGUUUCAGGCAAACCCUUCAAUUUUCCUAAGGAAAUGCUAGUAGAGAAAAAAAAAGGAUUCACAAAUUAAACAGGCCGAGGCUCAUAAAACCAACCCCUAAUCUCCGCCCCCUUGCCUUGUAUGUGUGUGUGUGUGUGUGUGUGUGUGUGACUGAGGACCAAACCCAGGCCCUUCCCCAUACUGGGGCCAUCCCUCACCACUGAGGUUCAUCUUUCACACUAACUCCAGCUCUUACAUGGUAGUUGUUCAGCCGCCAUAAAUCAAGUGUUCAGUGACUCCAGAGGGCUCAGCGCUGACAAACCCAUCACUGCCACACCUCUAACUGCAGGGAGAGGGCUCAGCACUGACAAACCUAUCACUGCCACACCUCUAACUGCAGGGAGUUCCAUUAUUUCACCAUCUGAGUUUCAAGUCAUGUGAAUAUUCAUGAUGAUCAUAAUUUUGUUGUAAAAUUGAUUUAGUAGGCUACAACCAAACAAUGUGGGGUUUUGUAUACACACAACUGUAGACUAACACACCUGUACAUGUACAUGUACUGCAUCUUAUACAUCUGAUAGGACUUUUUAAUGCAUAUAGGAGUCUAAAAAUAAGGUGCAUUUCUUAUUGGUGAUUGCACUUUAACCUUUGGAAAAGAACUGUGUUCCGGUUAGAGAAACCAGAGCAAGUGAGCAUGCUCUUUGCACACGAUGGCCACAUCUGCACAGUAAUGCUGCUUUGUUAUUUAGUUAUCAUUUUCAUAUAUUAACUCAUGGUAUAUAUGUGUUUGUACAAGUACUAUGUGCCACAGUAGAGGUCAGAGGACACCUCCCCAGAGAUCUGGGUACUGAACUCUGGUCAUCAGGUUUGUGGGCAAGCCCCUCUACUAUCUGGCCCCAAAGCAACAGACAGAGAACAAGCCGACCACGAGCAAUGAGUCCUUCUUGCCUUAUUUUCCCUUGUUGGAGCCAGGGGCUGGAGAGAUGGCUGUGCGUUAAAAGUACCCGCUGCUCUUGCAGAGGACCUGGUUGAGUUCCCAGAACCCACAUGGCAGCUCACAGCUGUCUAUAACUCUAGUUACAGAGGGCCUGAUGCCCUAUUUGGGCCUCUUAGGACACCUGGCACAGAUGCAGUAAAUGUGCAUAUAUGCAGGCAAAACACUCAAAUACACAAAAUUAAAAUGAAUAAAUAAAUCUUAAAAGAUAAAUAGAAAUUGAAACUUCAAAUUUUCAUUUGCUCCAGUCAAGCCGGACGGACACAUAAUUGCACAAAACGACCUUGUAAGUGCUAGCCUGGCCCACAAGCUCAUCCUGGUGGGCUCUCCUCCACUCUCCAUGCAGCCCUUGUCUUUCAGGGAUCAAAGGGAGACACACUUGCUCCUUAGGCCCUCCACUGGAGCGUUAGGGAUAGAAGUAUAAGUACCUUGUUCACGUAAGAGGCUGAUGGUGGGUCUUCCAGCUGAGCGUGAGUGCACAUUUCUGUUUAACAACAGCAAAAUUCCUUUGUUGUAUUAAAAUAAUUCAAGAGGUCAGAGAGAUGAGUCAGCUACUCUUGCCACCAAGGAUCGGGCUUGUCCCUGGCACCCACAUGGCAGCAGCUGGUUAACAACUUUAACUCCAGUUCCAGGGGGUACCACGACCUCUCCUGGCUCCCACAGGCAUUACACAAACAUAGUCCACAGACACGCAUGCAGGCAAACACACACACACUCAGAAAGAAUGAAUUUUAAAAAAUAACCGAGAGAAAAAGAGAGAGAGAACUCAUUUCAAGAGGACCAACUGCUAAGGAAUUUGCUGUGUAGUUAUGAGUAGAAAGAUAGUUCACCCACAGAGGCACAUUUAGCCUUUUGGCCAGUUGCACUUGUCUGAUUAGGACUUGUCUUUGUUCUUCCUUCUCCUCAUCAGUGCCUGCAUAUCUGGGGGUGAAGUCUAGC